CUUCUGCUACUUCUGCGAUUUCUGUGAUUCCUGCGAUUUCUGCGACUUACCACCGUAUGAGAAAGUUACAUCUGUCAACACAGAAAAUUGCAUCUCAUCAAACCUGUCUUUGGCAAGUACCUGAACUACAUUUCAGUCACUCAGUAAAGUGAUAACUCAAAAUAUCAUUGUCAACAGAUCUGAAGAAAUUGCCACUGCGUCUUUAGACCGUUUUUGUCAGACGAGAGACACAGUUCUGACUCUGAUUACUGAUUGCUGUACGUAUCUAUCCACAUCAAGGCUGUUUUUGAGAGAGACUCGUGAAGAUUCAAGACAGUUCUUAGAGGAUUUGCAGUUUAAAAGUGAAAUAAUUGUGAAAUAAGUGUGUGAAUGAUUAAACUGUGUUUUAUUGAAGUUGUU